rnacentral:lncRNA from 13 species
ACUGUCAUGUUGUGUCUUGUCUCUGUCCUUUCCCUUCACCCUGUCUCCCUCUGCUGGUCGUGUUAGGUUACCUUUUCUCCCCCGCUUUCCCCCAGCUGUUCCUUGCCCUAUUUAUUGCCUUGCCUCUCUUAUCCUACCUCAUUUGCACAUGCUGUAUAUAGAUUUUUCUACUGUAUUAUUGAUUGUAUGUUUAUUUAUUCCAUGUGUAACUAUGUGUUGUUGUAUGUGUUGAACUUUUUUGCUUUAUCUUGGGCAGGUCGCAGUUGUUCUCAACUAGCCUAACUUGUUCUCAACUAGCCUACCUGGUUAAAUAAAGGUGAAAUAAAUAAAAAAAAAAUGAGCUAACACAACGUGCCAUUGGAACACAGGAGUGAUGGUUGCUGAUAAUGGGCCUCUGUACGCCUAUGUAGAUAUUCCAUUAAAAAAAUCUGUUUCCAGCUACAAUAGUCAUUUACAAGAUUAACAAUGUUUACAUUGUAUUUCCGAUCAAUUUGAUGUUAUUUUAAUGGCCAUAAAAAUGUGCUUUUCCUUCAAAAACAAGGUCAUUUCUAAGUGACCCCAAACUUUUGAACCGUUGUGUAUAUUUUAUCAAUUUUAGAAUAAGGCUGUAACGUAACAAAAUGUGGAAAAAGGGAAGGGGUCUGAAUACUUUCCGAAUUCACUGUAUGUGUGAAAACACUGUUUGUGCCUAUGAGCACAAGACAUUGAGAAGACGUAGUUGUAGUCAGCUAAUCUCUUUCCACAGUAUGUAUGUCAUGUACUGUCAUGUUGUGUCUUGUCUCUGUCCUUUCCCUUCACCCUGUCUCCCUCUGCUGGUCGUUGUUAGGUUACCUUUUCUCCCCCGCUUUCCCCCAGCUGUUCCUUGUCUCCUCUGACUACCCAUUCACCCCGUUUCCCACCUGUUCCCUUUUUCCCUCUGAUUAGGUCCCUAUAUCUCUCUCUGUUUCUGCUCCUGUCUUUGUCGGAUUCUUGUUUGUUGUGUUUCAUGCCUGAACCAGACUAUCGUCAUGUUUGCUGUAACCUUGUCCUGUCCUGUCGGAAUCUGCCGGUCUAUCUGAGCCUACCUAUGUUUGGUUAUUAAAGAAGCUCUGUUUAAGUUAAUUCGCUUUUGGGUCCUCAUUCACUCACCGUAACAAUGUAUGAGACGCUAGCUAACCCACACCAUAUCAGGAAGGAGUGGUCUUGGCCUGGUGCUUCAGUAGGGGAGUUUUAGGGUUGGAAGACCUGGUGCUUAGGUAGGGGAGGUUUAGGGUUGGUAUA